AUGGCUCAGGAUGAACGCUGGCGGCGUGCCUAAUACAUGCAAGUCGAACGAGGUAGCAAUACCGAGUGGCGAACGGGUGAGUAACACGUAGGUAACCUGCCCUUAAGCUUGGGAUACCCAGAGGAAACUUGGCUAAUACCGGAUAACAACAGAGAAGGCAUCUUCUUUGCUUGAAAGGCCCCUUCAAGGGUCACUUAAGGAUGGACCUGCGGCGCAUUAGCUAGUUGGUGAGAUAACAGCCCACCAAGGCGAGGAUGCGUAGCCGAACUGAGAGGUUGAUCGGCCACAUUGGAACUGAGACACGGUCCAAACUCCUACGGGAGGCAGCAGUAAGGAGUUUUCGGCAAUGGGGGAAACCCUGACCGAGCAACGCCGCGUGAGCGAUGACGGCCCUAUGGGUUGUAAAAAGCUCUGUUGUAAGCCAUGAAUGAUAGCUUGAGGAAAUGCAAGCUAUUUGACGACAGCUUACCAGAAAGCCACGGCUAACUACGUGCCAGCAGCGGC
rnacentral:rRNA from 1 species